rnacentral:rRNA from 1 species
UACGUAGGGGGCAAGCGUUGUCCGGAAUCAUUGGGCGUAAAGGGCGCGUAGGCGGCCUGCUAAGUCGGACGUGAAAUCCCUCGGCUCAACCGGGGAACUGCGUCCGAUACUGGUGGGCUCGAAUCCGGGAGAGGGAUGUGGAAUUCCAGGUGUAGCGGUGAAAUGCGUAGAUAUCUGGAGGAACACCGGUGGCGAAGGCGGCAUCCUGGACCGGUAUUGACGCUGAGGAGCGAAAGCCAGGGGAGCAAACGGG